GACGAACGCUGGCGGCGUGCCUAAUACAUGCAAGUCGACAACAGCGGCGGACGGGGGAGUAACACGUAAGGAACCUACCGAUAAGCGGGGGACAACAUCCGGAAACGGGUGCUAAUACCGCAUAAUUAUCGAUGGCCUUGCGGUGCAUUAGCUCGUUGGGGGAGUAACGGCCUACCAAGGCAAUGAUGAAUAGCCGACCGUAGAGGGUAAUCGGCAACAUUGGGACUGAGACACGGCCCACACUCCUACGGGAGGCAGCAGUAGGGAAUCUUCCGAAAUGGGCGAAAGCCUGACGGGGCAACGCCGCGUGAGUGAAGAAGGUUUUCGGAUCGUAAAGCUCUGUUGUCAGAGAAGCGGUAUCUUACCAGAAAGCCACGGCUAACUACGUGCCAGCAGCCGCGGUAAUUC
rnacentral:rRNA from 1 species